AUUCGCUAGAACCUCCAUGAUGGAGGCUAUUUGAGUGUGAAAAACCAUGGCCAUUGUUAGCAGCUAAGUUAGCGUUACUUACUAGAUAACGUUAACAUCUACCAUCCAAGUCCUGUCGCCAACGCGAAUGAAAUAUUAUCUGGGCUGGUUCCUCUGUAGGUUCAGGAAGAGGUGUUCCCAAGACCCUACUCACACCCCUCAUUGACCAGCAGCACCUCUGGACCCUCCUCCUGGAAGAGACAAGUGAUACAGAUUACAGACAUACACUCCCUCAGGCACACAGAGAGACAUCUCAGCUUAAUGUCGGUGCAGCACCUCAAGCUCAACAAGGAGCUGAGGAAGGCCUGCCCGCUCCAAGACCUCUCCAUCACGGUUGACAACACCACAGUGUCCUCCUAGAGUGCAAAGAACCUUGGUGUGACCAUGGACAACACUGUCAUUCUCUGCAAAGCAGUGACUCGCUCCUCGCAAGUUCAUGCUCUACAACAUCCGUAGAGUACGACACUUCCUCACACGGUGCAGGUCCUAAUCCAGGCUCUUGUCAUCUCCCGUCUAGACUACUGCAACUCUUUUGGCUGGGAUCUAUCAAACCCCUGCUAUUUAUCCAGAACACUGUAGCCUGCCUGUGUUCAACCUUCCCAAGUUCUCCCAUGUCACCCUGCUCCUCCAGUGGCAUCCUGUCAAAAAUCGCAUCCACUAAGACUAUGGUGCUUGCCUACGGAGCAGCAAGGGGAACUGCUCAAACCUUACAUCCCAACCUGACCACUCUGUUCUGCCACAUCUUAUCUCUAGGCCGUCCCACACCUACGAGGGAUCAGCUCCCGCUCAGUCCAAUCAAAACUAAUUUCUAUCCUGGCACCCCAAUGAUGGAACCAGCUUCCCCCUGAAGCUAGAACAGCAGAGUCCCUGCUCAUUUUCUGAACAUUUCUGAAACCCUACCUCUUCAGAGUAUCAUAAAUGAAUCCCAUUCUUAAAUUAAGUGUUUAACAUAUCAAAAUAUAUUUUAUAUUUUACAUUCUUCAAAGUAGCCACCCUUUGCCUUGACAGCUUUGCACACUUUUGGCAUUCUCUCAACCAGCUUCAUGGGGUAGUCACCUGGAAUGCAUUUCAAUUAACAGGUGUGCCUUCUUAAAAUGUAAUUUGUGGAAUUUCUUUCUUUAAUGCAUUUAAGCCAUUCAGUUGUUGUGACAUGGUAGGGGAUGGUAUAUUUGGUUUUAAAAAAUAUAUAUAUAUUAUGGCAGCUCAACAGCUCAAAUAAGCAAAGAGAAAUGACAGUCCAUCAUUACUUGAAAGACAAAGAUUAGUUGAUCUGGAAAAUUUCAAUAACUUUUUCUUCAAGUGCUGGAAAAUAUUAAGAAAGUUUCUUUCAAGUGCAGUCGCAAAAACCAUCAAGCACUAUGAUAAAA